AAAGGAAUAGACGGGGGCCCGCACAAGCGGAGGAACAUGUGGUUUAAUUCGAUGAUACGCGAGGAACCUUACCCGGGCUCAAACGCAGAGGGAAUAUAUGGGAAACUGUAUAGCCAGCAAUGGUCGUCUGCGAGGUGCUGCAUGGUUGUCGUCAGCUCGUGCCGUGAGGUGUCGGCUUAAGUGCCAUAACGAGCGCAACCCUUAUUGUUAGUUGCCAGCGGGUGAUGCCGGGAACUCUAACAAAACUGCCAGCGUAAGCUGUGAGGAAGGUGGGGAUGACGUCAAAUCAGCACGGCCCUUACGUCCGGGGCGACACACGUGUUACAAUGGGGGGUACAGAAGGUCGCUACCACGCGAGUGGAUGCCAAUCUUUAAAGCCUUUCUCAGUUCGGAUCGAAGUCUGCAACUCGACUUCGUGAAGUUGGAUUCGCUAGUAAUCGCGCAUCAGCCAUGGCGCGGUGAAUACGUUCCCGGGCCUUGUACACACCGCCCGU
rnacentral:rRNA from 1 species